GUGCCAGCCGCUGCGGUAAUACGUAGGGAGCGAGCGUUGUCCGGAUUUACUGGGUGUAAAGGGUGCGUAGGCGGCUUGGCAAGUCAGUUGUGAAAACUAUGGGCUCAACCCCAUAGCCUGCAAUUGAAACUGUUGAGCUUGAGUGAAGUAGAGGUAGGUGGAAUUCCCGGUGUAGCGGUGAAAUGCGUAGAGAUCGGGAGGAACACCAGUGGCGAAGGCGACCUACUGGGCUUUAACUGACGCUGAGGCACGAAAGCAUGGUAGCAAACAGGAUUAGAUACCC
rnacentral:rRNA from 1 species